GACGAAUUCAAUAUAGAAGGUGCUCAAUUGAGCUUAAAAGGGAAAAUGGUUAAAAUCCAUUACAGCCCCCGCUACUGUAGGUGAUGAUGAAUCGGCAAUGAACCACUGAUCUAGGAAUUUAAAGCUAGGUUGGGAAGGUGCUGAGGAAAAUGAUUCACGAGUCAGGAGACCUGCCGACUUUAGAUAAAUGAU
rnacentral:ncRNA from 2 species